rnacentral:lncRNA from 1 species
GUUCAUUGCUGCUAAAGUGUCAUUACUUCCUUGACCUCUCAGCUGACAGAGCAAGGAAAUAAGUGUGUAUAAACUAAUUCAUGCAUACACAGAUAUCUAUAAAUAUUUAUGUAUGUAAUCAUCCAUACUUUUAUUAAGCUAAUAUUGAGUGCAUACGGAUGUCUAAUCUAGCAUUCUCCCUUACUUAUCUGUGAACUUUGAAUCCAACAGUAAGAAAUCUGACUCCCAUUAUCAGCCAUAAGAAUUUAUUAACUCUUCAAUUGCAGUAUACAUAUGUAGCACUGUCAGAGUUAUUAAUUGUAUUCAUGUGGAAAGCAAGUUUUUCUGUUAAGUUUUUCUGUUAGAGCAGAAUGUUUUUGUGUGUUUUAUUUUGUCUUUCAUUUUAUAAACUCCAAUCAUUUCCAGAGCUACUUAGCUCAGCAUCUUUUUUUUCCACGCUCUUAAGUUGUUUUAUACAUUUUUGAUACAGUUAGAUUGUUUUUGUCACAUUCUUCAUUCUAUCCUGGGAUCCCCCAACCACCUAAGUGGAUUUUUUGAUAAUUUGCAUGCUUUUAGGAUAACUCUUCAUUCUGUAAAGUGCUAUGGGUUUUGGCAAAUGCAGAGUCAUGUAUCCAAGAUUACAAUAUCGCACAGAAGAGUUUCAUCACUAUAUAAAACUCACCAGUCUUCCUCCUAUUCAACCAUCUCCAUGCCUUCUUCCCAGCCCUAACUCCUUAAAACCACUCAUAUCUUUACUAUUGCUAUAGUAUUGCCUCUUCCACCAUGUCAUAUAAAUGGAAACAUACAGUAUUAGUCUUCUCAAACUAGUUUCUUUUACCUAACAACAUGCAUUUAAGAUUCAUAGUGUCUUUUAAUGACUUGAUAGAUUAUUUCUUUGUAGCUGAAUAAUAUUGCAUCUUAUAGAUGUAACCGUUUGUAUAUCCAUAUUUUCUCACAGCCUAUGACUUGUCUUUUGAUUCUCUGAACAGUGCCAUUCACAAAGCAGAAGUUUUAAUUUUUAUAAAGUCUAAUGUAUCAACUUUUUCUUUCAUAAAUCAUCCUUUUGAUGUAUCCAAAAACUCAUUACGACACCAAAGGAAAUCUAGAAUUUCUCCUAUGCUAUCUUAUAGAAGUAUUAUAGUUUUGUGUUUUAUACCUAUGUCUAUGAUCCAUUUUGAGUCAAUUUUUGUGAAACAUAUAAGAGCUUGCAUAUUGGACAGAACCAUUUGUUGAAAACACUAUCCUUUCUACAUUUAAUUGACUUUACUUCUGUGUCAAAGAUAAUUACUAUAUUUGUGUGUGUCUAUUUCUAGGCACUCUGUUCUGUUCCACUGAUUUAUCUGUCUAUUCUUUUGCCAAUACCAUGCUGUAAUGAUGACUAUAUUUUAUAUUAAGUCUUUAAAAGGAUAUUGUAAUUCCUCCAACUUUGUUGUUCUUCAGUAUUUUCUUGGCCAUUAUAUGUCUUUUGCCGUUCCGUAUAAACUUUAGAAUUAAUUUGUUGAUGUCUACAAAAUAGCUUGCUAGAAUUUUGAUUGAGAUUACACUGAAUCUACAGAUUAAGUUGGGAAGAACUGAAUUGUAAAACUAUGGAGUCUUCCAAUCCAUGAACACUGACUCUCUAUUUAGGGUUAUAGUUUACCAUAUUGAGAUCCUGUAAUGUUUUGUUAGAUUUAUAUCUAAGUAUUUUAUUUUUGUAUGCUGUCAACAUAUUGUUUUUCCUUUUUCAAAUUCCAGUUGUUCAUUGUUGAUAUGUAAGAAAGCAAUUGACUAUUGUAUGUUAACCUUGUAUCCCAUGACCUUGCUAUACUCACUUAGUAGUGCCAGGAUUUUUUGUUGCACUGUUGAUUCUUUGAGACUUUUCACAUAAACAACAUAUCAUCAUAAAGAGUUUCUUUUCUUCCUUCCUAAUUUGUGUAUCUUUUAUUGCUUUUCCUUGCCUUAUUGCACUAGCGAAGAUUUUUCAUACAAUGUAGAAAGGAGAAGUGAGAGAAAAUGUAUUUGCUUUGUAACUGAUCUUAAGGAAAGUGUCCAGUUUGCCACCAUUAUAAUAUUAGCUGUAGGCUUUUUGUUGAUGUUCUUUAUCAAGCUGAGGAAGUUAUCUUUUAUUUCUAAGAUAUACAUUUUUUAUUCUUUCAAACUUCUUUUUUUCCCUCAAGUUCUGAUAAUUUUGUGAUAUCGUCUAACUUUUGCUCAUGGCUGAUCAUUUCCUUUUGUGCUUUGUAGUUUUGAUAAGUGUUUUGUUUACUUUUCUGUGUAAAAGUUCCUACUAUCAUCUGCUUAUGAAGAUGCGCCUGCCUAGAAGUGGCAAACUUCAGUAUGCCAAUCACUAUUCACUUAAAUGCAUUCAGAUUCAAGUAAAAUUUGAAAGCAAGUAACUAGUUCAUUCUUUCUUAUUCUUUUUAAAUCUUCUUUUAUCACUUCACGCACCAAGGAGACAAAGUCAGGAGGCCAGAAAGUUUCUUAAUCAACUUUUUGGCUAGUUAUGCAAUCUUGACCAGGUUAUUUCAUUCCAAAAUUCACUAAUGCUUCCAUUUCUUUAUGUGGAAAUUAUUAUGACAGUCACUAAUUUUUACUCAAGGAGAUUUAGAGACAGCUCAAUACCCUUAUAUUAUCAAGUCUGUGAACUCCUUGAAUGGUGUUACAAACAGACUAAGGUGGUCCCCUGAUCCCUAACUCCUAAUAUUCAUGAUUGUGUAAUCCCUGCUUCUUGAGUGUGGGUGGGCCUGUGACAUGUUUCUAACAAACAGAACAUGGUACAGUUGAUAGGAUACUAUUCCCAUCUUAAUGUUACAUUAUUAGGCGAGGUGACGGGAAGUCACUUAAGAGGUUAUGUUACAUGGCAAAGGCGAUAACAUUGUAUUAUUUAAGACUCUGUCUUGUUUGUAGCCUCUCCCUUUUUCCUCUUCAUUACCAGCCUUUAAGAAUCAAGCUGCCAUGAAUUGUAUGGCCACCAGGUAAUGAUUCUGACAGCAACCUGAAGGAGCUUAAAGGUUGAUCCUUCUCCAAUCAAGCCUCCAGAUAACAACACCAAAAUUGCAGUAAAUUGCAGGUUUGUGAGAUCCUGAGCAGAUCCAGCUAACCUGUGCCCAGACUCCUGGCCCACAGAAGCUUUGAGAUAAUAAAUAUAUUUUAGGCUUCUAAGUUUGUGGUUAUUAUUUAUUUAUUUUUAUUUUAUUAUUAUUAUUAUUUUUUGAGAUGGAGUUUCACUUUUCUUGCCCAGGCUGGAGGGCAAUGGUGUGAUCUCGGCUCACUGCAAUCUCCACCUCCCGGAUUCAAGCGAUUCUCCUGCCUCAGCCUACGGAGUAGCUGGGAUUACAGGCAUGCACCACUACACCCGGCUAAUUUUUGUAUUUUUAGUAUAGACGGGGUUUCAUCAUCUUGGUCAGGC